rnacentral:rRNA from 1 species
CCCUUAGAUGUUCUGGGCUGCACGCGUGUUACAAUCGGGAGUACAACAAGAUUGCAAAUCCUAGUGGAUGAGUGGUUCGUCGAAAUUUUCUGAAGACUGGGAUAGUUGAUUGAAAUUAUUCAACUCGAACGAGGAAUUCCUUGUAAUUGUAAUUCAUUAUAUUGUAAUGAAUACGUCCCUGCCCUUUGUACACACCGCCCGUCGCUCCUACCGAUUGAACGAUCCGGUGAAUUAUUUGGAGUAGCUCUGGAAGUUGCAGAACUUCCUAUGUCACGAAAUUUUGUAAACCUUAUCGUUUAGAGGAAGGAAAAGUCGUAACA